rnacentral:lncRNA from 1 species
CUUUUCUUUAUCUUUUGCAGCCAUUUUUUAUCUACAAAAUUCUCUCUUCUCUCUCCCUCCCCUCCUCUCAUCUCCUCUCUCUAUCUUCUUCUCCUCCUCCUCUAAUUUUACGUUUAAAUCCCAUGAUUCUUCAUAUUCCAUCGCAAGCUUCUAUUUUCCAUUCUCGCCGCCUAGCGGUGCUGAAUCUCCGACGGCAGCGCUAGGGUUUUACAGGGGCUGCGAUUUUUCGGUUUUGGGCUUCAAUUGACAAAGAUUUCCUCUUUCCAUUCAGGGCGUGGUUUGGGUUUAGUUGGGGUGAUUUUAUUGAUCUGUGUUUUAUGAGAGAAUGAGAGUGGUGGAGUGCAGUUGCGGCGAUAGCAUAGCACCGCCGCCGCUGGUUCCGUUGGGGAUGAUGGUGGCGGUGUUAAGAGUGAAGAAGGCCUCGCUAAGGUGUCGCUGACCAGCUAUUGCUUAAUUUUGUAUAAUUCGUUGAAGGGGAUUUUGGGUGAAAACGUGGAAGAAGAUAAUGGGUAUAUUUUUUUGUGGAGAUGACGAUGCGAAUUGUGAUAAUUGAGAGAAUUGAGUGUUUUGUGAUAACAAAGAAAACCAAAUCUCUGCCAAUUAUUUUACAAGAGGUUUUUUUUCCCUUUUUUAAGUUUUUUCUAAUUCAUUUACAUUUAACAAUAUUUUUUUUGUAUUUUGAUUGUUUAAAAAUAUAUAUAUAAUUGAACAUUUAAUAAGACACAACAAAAAUAUUUAUUAAGUUAAAUAGUAAAUAUUUGAGUUUUUAAGAUUUAUUUAUACUUAAUAUACAUGUUUUAAUCCUUGAAUGUACUGAGGGGUAAAAUUGUCCGAAAAGAGUGAAACAAUUAAAAUAUAGCUAUAAAGGAGAAAGUCAACGUGCCACGUCAUCAUUCACUAACAAAUCCAAAACGGAGGGACCAUUUUGUCGCGUUUAGUAAUUCAGGGGGGUAUUUAGUACAACCCCUAUAGUUCAGGGGUACAAACUGUACUUUCC